AAAUUUUAGAUUAUCUACCUAAUAAAGCCUUGACAAGUUCAUUCAAGCCAGGAAUGGUCCUCAAAAGCAAUGUAUUCUAUGGCUGAUUUUUUUGGGGGCAUGCGAAGGUCUUGUGAAAUCCUUGCUCGGUUCUUCCUUCAGCUGGCACUUGCUCUUAUAUUGUGCAUACAGAAACUUGAUAUGUGACUGGCCUGAUUCUUGGACCAGAAAAUAAGCUUUGGCUGAGGUUUGCUAAGCCCACACAUGCUUGUAGUUGCUGUGAUGGAUUGUAUCAAAAUUAUUUAUU